UACGGAGGGGGCUAGCGUUGUUCGGAAUUACUGGGCGUAAAGCGUGCGUAGGCGGAUUGGAAAGUUAGAUGUGAAAUCCCGAGGCUCAACCUCGGAACUGCAUUUAAAACUGCCAAUCUAGAGUUCUGGAGAGGUAAGUGGAAUUCCUAGUGUAGAGGUGAAAUUCGUAGAUAUUAGGAGGAACACCAGAGGCGAAGGCGGCUUACUGGACAGAUACUGACGCUGAGGCACGAAAGUGUGGGGAGCAAACAGG
rnacentral:rRNA from 1 species